CCCAUGCCAACAGCCUCUCACUCCAUCUGUGUCGGCCAGCCUCCAGAAACACCAUGAGACGGGUCUGAGUCCACACUGACCCUGCCUAACCCUUGGCCAGAAAAUGACCUCACUAAGCAUCAGUGGGGACUCCAGACACAGCCAGGAAGGAAGCACACCAGGAGAAAGCGGUGUGAGGCAGUAAAUGACUGUUAUUAUUGAUGUGUCUCGGAAAGGAAGGAAAAGCUACCUAGCCCCCAUAGGAUGACACAGACGAUGAUCCCUCUCCUGGGCAGCCAUGAUAGGAUGACUAUGUGAAGUGACACACGAAAAUUGGAUGAAAACAGCCGACUUAACAGCAGACGAGAGAAUUUCUUGCUGUAAGAAACAAAUGCAAUGCGUAAUCAAAUUAAGAAGUGCCACAGAAAUCCACACAGAUAGGAUGGAAUGCCAACUGGCUUGGGCACAAAGCUCCUGGCUUUGUUGAAAACAUCCAGAUGCAGCGAAAAUAUGACAUUUCUUUAAAUAUCUUCCUCUCUCUUUUUUGUUGUAUUGCAAACAUUUUGGUUACGGGUUCCCCUGCCAUGCUCUCCCCAAUUUACUAAUAGCAGACAAAUAUUAUAGUUCUAAAUUCUUUGGCCUGUUACAACUGGCAUAACUUGUUUAUUCUUCUUCCAAGGAAUAUUUUAUGUCUAACCUUUCUUCAUAUUCUGAUGCAUACUGAUAACAAAAGGAUCUCCAGUACUUUUUGUUUCAGAUUAGAAAAGAAAAAAAAAGAUAUCACACAUCAUGUACAGUCCAAAAUAAACAAAACUGAAAUGCUUUCAAGCAUCUGGUUUGCUCUAGCUUUCAAAGUACUGGGACUUUAAAGGAGAUUCUUUUUUUUAAAAAAAAGCACUUUAGUAAUGGAGUAAAUUAAGGGAAUAAAGAUUUCUAUUAUGAGAAGGAAACAAUUUUUCUGAACAUUUCCGUUUUUUAGUCACUUAUGUUCAGUAAUUUUUUUCUCCAUUCUUAUUUAAAAACAUGUGAAUAGAGAGGUCUUAUUUCAGGGGCACCUGGAUGACUCAGC